rnacentral:lncRNA from 1 species
AAAUGAUGAAGCUGCAACAUCGUGGUUAGGGGGCUCCUUGGAAGUAUUUAUACCCGGUAUUCGAAGAGUAAAUAGGUAUAUUGGAUUUAUUGGACCCCACAAAGUAUAUAUAUUCUUGAUCAGCAUCAAUAGCCGAGUCGAUAUAGCCUUGUCUGUCCGUCCGUCUUGUUGAGCGCCCGGGACUCGGAGACUAUAAAAGCUAGAGCCACCAAAUUUUGCAUCCAGACGACUGUAUGCUCACACUGUUACAAGUGUAUUUCAAAAUUUCGUUGUACAAGUUUAGACGCGUAAGAAGCGUCUCACACGUCCCUUCUCGUUAUUUUUAUCUUCCACGCUCUUAGCCUUUCUAUUAAAGUCAUACACAAACAGAAUUGAAACAUAAUUUUAUUGAAUUUUUGAAUGUUUAAACCCUCCCGACUGUUGCAUGUGAAGACGAUCGAUCUUUCUCAUCCUGGCGACGACUAGAAACAGCGUCCGCCCCAGAAUCCUGGACCACUUGUGCCACACCUGGAGUUAAAUGGACCAUUGUAGGGUCCAAAGCAGGGAUCGUAGUAGCCACUGGGUCCACAACCACCGCAAGGGCAGAGGGCGGCAGAGGGAUAACAAGGCCAGCUGCACAUCUUCGUAAAUUGCUUUUGUCCUGCCAGGAAAAAAUUUUAAAAAUAAAUUUUGAAUUUGAUGUUUUUUUAAUUUCAAAUCUAUUUACUUUGUUUAGAAGAGGCGGAACGUUGUUAAUUUAGGUUUUAUUUUGCUGUUUUCACAAAACAGUCCGAAGGGUUAGAGCUCCAAAGAUUGAAUGAAAAAUAUGUGUUAGACAGGACACCUACAAAAUAUGGUCCAUGCGGCAGCUGAUAUCAUGGCAUACUUUAUGAUAACAACAUAUGUAUAUAAAAAUGUGGCUUUAUGGAAUGGAAGUGAAGAAAGGACCCAUAGUCCGAAAUUAUUUUUCUGAGGGCGAGGCCUAACAGCUCUAGAGAGGCUCAUUAUAGAUCAUUCGUAGACGAUCGAGCCACAAAAAACAGCAAAGUACGGUAGGGUGUAAAGGGUAGAGGGUAAAGGGCUGCACAAUUUUAGAUUUAAUUCAAAUGCUUUAAUACAAUACCAUCAAAUGUGUUCCCCUAAGGCGACAAAUAGAGAUGGCCAACAUCUCACAGGCCCAUACUUACAUACAUAUGUAUCUAUGUUUGUACAUACGUAUGAAUAUGACUAAAUGUAGCUUUGCUGCCACACCGUGUCUAUAAUUUAGUCCCAUUGUACUUCGGUUUAAUUUCACUCAAAACGAAAUUUCUUCUGUCAAAUAUGCAAGUCAGUAGGCUGUAACAUUCAGUCAUCAAUUGUAAAUCCCAAUAUAUGCUCAUUCGUUUUCAGGCCCUCGUUCAGCCAACAAAAAAAUUAUAUUUUCGGAAAAAGUAUUGUGAAAGUUUGAGUUUAAAUUUGAGAUUUAAAAUUGUUUUUGUGAAAAGUUUCACAUGUGUAAAAAUUAUUUUUCUUAAAUCCUAAUUCCAAUGAUGGCCAAAAGGUGAGAAAUAAAGGAAAUUUCAUUUGGCAUUCUAAUAUAAAUCCAUUCCACAGUAUCCACCACACCACACGAAAUGUUACUAAAUUAUUGAACUGCCUAGUAUUCGUGCAUAAAGUAUGUGCAUAAAGGAGACACAAACUAUCCAUCGUUAAGCAUAUUUACAGACUUAGAUCAAACUGGACACACUGGAUUGAAAUCAAUACAUGAUUCCUAAAGGAUGUGUACACUUUUACUUUAUAUCAAACACGCAAAAUCACUGGAUUAUAACAAAUGGACGAUGAGUCAACUCCAAUUCCUAAAGGAUACGUGUUUAGCCAUAACAUUUGAAUUUAGGGUAUCAAAAUAUUGGUUGAUUGGCUAAGAGAUUUAUUCUCGAUAUUCUAAUCCCAUAUUCAUAUUGCAGACUGAAACGCAAUAAGGAUUUUUAUCGAUACAAUUGAAAGAAAGCUAAACUUCUACACAAUGGUUUUUGUAAGUGUUUCGGGUGGGAGCUUGUAUUAUUAGCUAAAAAAUAACUCCAGUUCCUUUUGCUUAGGUUAUAGUUUAUACAAAUGAAUACUACUCGCAAGGGAAUUGCUGGAAUUAAAUAAAAAUAUAAGAAAUAUAUAAAAUAUAUUCACACGCAAAUAAAAUACUGAAUAAAAUCGAUGACUGAUUGUGAUUUAGAUG